rnacentral:rRNA from 1 species
CCUACGGGAGGCAGCAGUGAGGAAUAUUGGUCAAUGGGCGCGAGCCUGAACCAGCCAAGCCGCGUGAGGGAAGAAGGCCCUAUGCAUCGCAAACCUCUUUUGCCGGGGAGCAAAAGACCCGACUCGUCGGGUCCUGAGAGUACCCGAAGAAAAAGCAUCGGCUAACUCCGUGCCAGCAGCCGCGGUAAUACGGAGGAUGCGAGCGUUAUCCGGAUUCAUUGGGUUUAAAGGGUGCGCAGGCGGAAGUUUAAGUCAGCGGUAAAAUCGCGGGGCUCAACCCCGUCGAGCCGUUGGAACUGGGGGUCUUGAGUGAGGGGGAGGUAUGCGGAAUGCGUGGUGUAGCGGUGAAAUGCAUAGAUAUCGCGCAGAACCCCGAUUGCGAAGGCAGCGUGCCGGGGCGCAACUGACGCUGAGGCACGAAAGUGUGGGGAUCGAACAGGAUUAGAUACCCUUGUAGUC